ACUACGGCAAUAAUUUGUCAGUGGAUUACAUUUGUCAGUUUGUCAUUAAGUGAAAAAAAGUCCUACUAGUGAUAUGGCCAAUCCAUGUUAUUGUAUAUUAUGGUUCCUGGUUUUGUUCACGGUGGCCUUCCCAAUAGCAUUUAUUUGUGCUUUUUUCUUCAUCAUUUGCUUCACAUUCACUGCUUGCUGUGACGGUUGUAAAGGUAUAUCGGAUUUCUUCAGGAAAGGUUUGGAACUACCUGGCACCGCUGCAAAAAAGAUGAUUAACUGCGAAGGAUGUUAGUGGAAAAUGAGCCGGAAAUGAAUUUACGACAUUUUUACAGUUAGAAAGUUUUCAAAACGAUGUUUUUGAAUUAAAAAAAAAUGUUUCAGGUAAUACUGAACUAUUUUUCUUUUUAUAGGAAUAUUAGUAAAAUAUUCAUCUUUUAGGACAUACUGCAUUAUUUUCAAAGGAAGGUUUGCUAUUUCUCAAGAUAGUAGGAUAGUUUCCACUUUAAUUUCAGAAUAAAUGGUGCAGGAGUUGCAUUUAUUGCAAUGAAAACAACAUAAUAACUCUUCAAUUACAUUUUUCCAAUGAUUAUAAUCAUUUAUUAUAUUAAUUAUAUAUAUUAUACAUAGUA